rnacentral:misc_RNA from 1 species
AUUUUUUCAAGAUGGCCGCGCCCAUGUUUUAAGAAAAAUUCUGAAACUUUCUAUUUUGUGAUUAAAAUUGUCAUUGUAAGGCAAUUUUGUAAAGCAUUUGGUGAUAGAAUAGUAUUUUUACUCUUGCAAUGUGACUCCAUAAUCCUUUCAUUAGAACCAUCUUGAGGUAAAAUGUCAACUAUUCUGGGAAAAGCUGUGUUUUAUCCGACACUUUUCUACAAUGUGGUGAUGGAAAAGAUAUCAUCUAGGUGCUGGUUUAAUAGGAUAGAUGACACUGUUGUCCUUGGGGCUCUGCCUUUCAAGAAGAUGAUACCACAGCUGGUUAAUGGAGAAGACAUAAGGGGUGUAGUGACAUUGACAGAAGAUUAUGAAAUGCCAGAAAGAUUUGUACCCACAUUUGAGGAUUGGAAACAGGCUGGUGUUGAUCAACUCAAAAUAAGCACCAAAGAUUUUGUAUCUUCUCCCAACCAAUCAGAACUGCGACAAGGUGUGGAGUUCAUUUUACGAUUUGUUGACAAUGGGGGUAGUGUCUAUGUACAUUGUAAAGCGGGUAGAAGUCGUAGUGCAACUUUGGUGGGUUGUUAUUUAAUGUCGCAAAUGAAAUGGACUCCAGAACAAGCCAUAGGAUUUAUCAAACACAAACGACCACAUGUUGUCAUACGAACUGCACAAUGGAGAGAACUAAGGACCUAUUACCAAGAUAAUAUUACACCUAAACAAUGAGUUCCUUAUUAUGUUGAAUAUGUCUCCUUCUAAGAAUGAUGAAUUCCUUGAAUGGUGGACCACUAGUGAAUAUAGUAAUUCAAAAAUAAAAAAUAAAUUAUCAUUGAAUUUGUGAUAAAUCUAUGGUGUCAGUAGGUUAACACAACAGCUAAUGCCGUAAGGAAAGUUGAAAACCCUAAAGAAAAUCAUAGAAAUAACUUAAAUGCUUUUUGCAGCUAUAUAUGUAUUUGUGCAAUACUGUACUUGUCAGUAACCCAGUGUAUGGUGGCAUGUUAACUUGUGAUGUGAUGUGAGAUUAUAAAUUUUACUGUAACGUUCCAAAUUCCUUUCAGGCCAUGGUGGUGAAGAAGAUUUAGGUU